UACUAGAGUAGCACUCGCAUAUCAAUAAGCGGAGGAAAAGAAACUAACAAGGAUUCCCCUAGUAACGGCGAGUGAAGCGGGAAGAGGCUCAAAUUUGAAAUCUUAAAGGGUUUCCCUUUACGAAUUGUAGUUUAAAGAAGUGUUUUCUGUUGAGGUUUUGGUAAAAGUUCUUUGGAAUAGGACAUCAUAGAGGGUGAGAAUCCCGUAUUUGACCUUUACUUUCAACUUUGUGAUACACUUUCAAAGAGUCGGAUUGUUUGGGAAUGCAGUCCAAAAUGGGUGGUAAAUUUCAUCUAAAGCUAAAUAUUGGCGAGAGACCGAUAGCGAACAAGUACCGUGAGGGAAAGAUGAAAAGAACUUUGAAAAGAGAGUUAAACAGUACGUGAAAUUGUCAAAAGGGAAGCGUUUGACACCAGUGUUGUUUUUCUGAAAAUCAAUUAAAGAACUGUUUAUGCUAAGCUGUUUAGACUUUAUCAGCUAUCUGUUUAGUUUUGAGCUUUUCUUUAAUGCACUUUUCAGUUAACAAGUCAACAUCAAUUUCUUUUGCUGUAAAAAAGCUUGAGGAAGGUGGCUUGAGAUUCGUCUUAAGUGUUUAUAGCCUCUUGCCUAUGCAGUCGGAGAGAUUGAGGUCUGCAGCGUAGAUCCUUCGGGGCUAAAUGCAUUUGUGCUAAGUUAUAGCAUUUUAUAGACAACUUGUUGACUAUGAUUUGUCUUGUAGCUUACUCGCUUAUGUUAUUUUACCUACGCUUAGGAUGUUGAACUACUGAGACAUAGA
rnacentral:rRNA from 1 species